rnacentral:rRNA from 1 species
UAAGGAAUAUUGCUCAAUGGGAGAAAUCCUGAAGCAGCAACGCCGCGUGGAGGAUGAAGGGUCUAUGACUUGUAAACUCCUGUAAAGAAGGAAAAAAUUCCCAUUAGAUGGGAGAUGAUGGUACUUCUGGAGUAAGCCCCGGCUAACUACGUGCCAGCAGCCGCGGUAAUACGUAGGGGGCAAGCGUUGUCCGGAUUUACUGGGUGUAAAGGGUGCUCAGGCGGAUUUGUAAGUCAGAGGUGAAAUCUUACAGCUUAACUGUGAAACUGCCUUUGAUACUGCAAGCCUAGAGUAUGGAAGAGAGUGAUGGAAUAUCUGGUGUAGCAGUGAAAUGCGUAGAUAUCAGAUAGAACACCAAUGGCGAAGGCAGUCACUUGGUCCAUUACUGACGCUAAAGCACGAAAGCGUGGGUAGCAAGCA